rnacentral:rRNA from 1 species
CGUAGGGUGCAGGCGUUAAUCGGAAUUACUGGGCGUAAAGCGUGCGCAGGCGGCUCCUUAAGUCAGAUGUGAAAUCCCCGGGCUUAACCUGGGAACUGCGUUUGAUACUGAGGGGCUAGAGUGUGGAAGAGGGGGGUGGAAUUCCAGGUGUAGCAGUGAAAUGCGUAGAUAUCUGGAGGAACACCAAUGGCGAAGGCAGCCCCCUGGGCUAACACUGACGCUCAUGCACGAAAGCGUGGGGAGCAAACAGGAUUAGAUACCCUGGUAGUCCACGCCCUAAACGAUGUCAACUGGUUGUCGGGGAAGUAAUUCCUUGGUAACGAAGCUAACGCGUGAAGUUGACCGCCUGGGGAUUACGGCCGCAAGGCUA